GACGAACGCUGGCGGCGUGCUUAACACAUGCAAGUCGAACGGAAAGGCCCUGCUUUUGUGGGGUGCUCGAGUGGCGAACGGGUGAGUAACACGUGAGUAACCUGCCCUUGACUUUGGGAUAACUUCAGGAAACUGGGGCUAAUACCGGAUAGGAGCUCCUGCUGCAUGGUGGGGGUUGGAAAGUUUCGGCGGUUGGGGAUGGAUUCGCGGCUUAUCAGCUUGUUGGUGGGGUAGUGGCUUACCAAGGCUUUGACGGGUAGCCGGCCUGAGAGGGUGACCGGCCACAUUGGGACUGAGAGACGGCCCAGACUCCUACGGGAGGCAGCAGUGGGGAACAUUGCACAAUGGGCGGAAGCCUGAUGCAGCAACGCCGCGUGCGGGAUGACGGCCUUCGGGUUGUAAACCGCUUUCGCCUGUGACGAAGCGUGAGUGACGGUAAUGGGUAAAGAAGCACCGGCUAACUACGUG
rnacentral:rRNA from 1 species